GGGCAUGUAGCUCAAAGGAUUAGAGAAUGUGAAUACGAACCACGUUGCCUGAGGUUCGAAUCCCUCCUUGCCCA
rnacentral:tRNA from 1 species